UGAAGAAUCUGAAUCUUA
rnacentral:miRNA from 1 species